UUUUUGAUUAAUAAUUUAAAGUCUAAUCUGCCCACUGAUAAUAUAUUAAAGGGCUGCAGUAUUUUGACUGUACAAAGGUAGCAUAAUCAUUAGUCUCUUAAUUGGUGACUUGUAUGAAAGAUUUAAUGAGAUAUAUACUGUCUCUUUUUAAUUUAUAAAAUUUAAUUUUUUAGUUAAAAAGCUAAAAUAUAUUUAAAAGACNNNNNNNNNNNNNNNNNNNNAAUAUUUAAUUAAAUUAAAAUUUUUUAUAAGAUUUAAAAUUUUAAUUUAAUUAAAUAUUUUGUUGGGGUGAUAAAAAAAUUAAAAAAACUUUUUUUAUAAAUUUACAUAAAUAAAUGAAUAAAUGAUCCGUAAUUUACGAUUAAAAGAAAAAAUUACCUUAGGGAUAACAGCGUAAUUUUUUUUUUUAGUUCAAAUAAGAAAAAAAGUUUGCGACCUCGAUGUUGGAUUAAGAUAAAAUUUAAAUGCAAAAGUUUAAAAUUUUUGAUCUGUUCGAUCAUUAAAAUCUUACA
rnacentral:rRNA from 1 species